rnacentral:rRNA from 1 species
ACAACUUUCAACAAUGGAUCUCUUGGCUCUCGCAUCGAUGAAGAACGCAGCGAAAUGUGAUAAGUAAUGUGAAUUGCAGAAUCCAGUGAAUCAUCGAAUCUUUGAACGCAUCUUGCGCUCCUUGGCAUUCCGAGGAGCAUGCCUGUUUGAGUGUCAUUUGA